rnacentral:tRNA from 1 species
GGGACUGUAACUCAGUGGUAGAGUUCCUGCUUUGCAUGCAAGAAGGCCUGGGUUCAAUCCCUCAGCACCU